rnacentral:rRNA from 1 species
UACGUAGGGGGCGAGCGUUGUCCGGAAUUAUUGGGCGUAAAGGGUGCGUAGGCGGCCAAGCAAGUCAGAUGUGAAAUACCACGGCUUAACUGUGGGGGUGCAUUUGAAACUGCAUGGCUGGAGUACAGGAGAGGGAAGCGGAAUUCCUAGUGUAGCGGUGAAAUGCAUAGAUAUUAGGAGGAACACCAGUGGCGAAGGCGGCUUUCUGGACUGUAACUGACGCUGAGGCACGAAAGCGUGGGGAGCAAACAGG